rnacentral:rRNA from 1 species
UAUUGGACAAUGGGCGAAAGCCUGAUCCAGCCAUGCCGCGUGUGUGAAGAAGGUCUUCGGAUUGUAAAGCACUUUAAGUGGGGAGGAAGGGCAUUAACCUAAUACGUUAGUGUUUUGACGUUACCGACAGAAUAAGCACCGGCUAACUAUGUGCACGCAGCCGCGGUAAUAUAGAGGGUGCAAGCGUUAACCGGAAUGACUGGGCGUAAAGCGCGCGUAGGUGGUUUGUUAAGUUGGAUGUGAAAGCCCCGGGCUCAACCUGGGAACUGCAUCCAAAACUGGCAAGCUAGAGUACGGUAGAGGGUGGUGGAAUUUCCUGUGUAGCGGUGAAAUGCGUAGAUAUAGGGAGGAACACCAGUGGCGAAGGCGACCACCUGGACUGAUACUGACACUGAGGUGCGAAAGCGUGGGGAGCAAACAGG